GCCAUUGACAACUGGAUGGCAAAGAGGGCCAUGUGGCUGAAGAUAUUGCUUACUUAUGUCAUAGAACAUGGAGAAAUGGAGAUGGUUUGCAACUGGAGAUGCUUUACCCCAACCUACUAAUGUUCCUGGGUCUGCCUCAUGUUUGUUAUACUAUUUGAGGAGAAAAGUAAUCAUUACUGUUACCCAGCCAUAAACCCUGUGACCUACAACAGUGACCUGCCUGCCAGAGAUAUGGUACAACAGUGAGGGAAAUGUUAUGGGAGGAAACAGGCAAUCUUUGAGUGGAUUGAAAGCCCACUCCCCAAGAUUUAACCCAUACUAGACACUGCUAAAAUGCCAAGGACCUGAGAGUAGAGUAUAAAAAAAAGAAGAAAAACCAAACCAUGUUUCCUCAUUCCCGUUUCUAUCAUCGUUCAACAAGUAUCCGUGUGAACUGGAGGACUCAGAUCUGCACACUUUUGGAAGAGUGAAGAGGCAUGCUGUCCGCUCAUAAUUCUCUAGAGAAAUUAAAGACCUGUCCCGACAAAGCAAGCACUAGCAUAGUCCACAAAUCCCGUUCGUAGGGAUUCUUACUGUGAAGAAGCUGGUCUCUUGGGUUACAGGUCUGUCCGAGAUUCUUUCUCCUCGACAUGUACAGAGCCCAUGACAGAAAUAUAAGGAGACCUAGAUACCAUGCGUGUAAUUAUUCCCAAGGGAUGAAUCGAAUAGUAACUCAUCGAAUGAGAUACGCAGUUGUUACUUCCCACUUGAAAAACAGUGCUUCAUGAUGACAAAAUGGAAAAACUGUUUAAAGCCAGGAUUUCAGAUGACUUAAAGUUGACAAAACAUAUCAAACAUAAUGCAAUCAUUUUCACAAAUGGCUAGAUGUUCAGUUGAUGAGUCAAAGAUUUAUGGGUCAAUAAUAAAGACAUCCAUAAUUUAUAAA